AAGUCGUAACAAGGUUUCCGUAGGUGAACCUGCGCUCUGAAUCAAAACUACUUUCCGGGCUAUGAUUUACCAGAGAUUGCAAGCUUCGCGGGUUACAAGAGCAGGAAUCAAUGUUCACGGGGGGGGUUUUAACGUUUGGAUACGUGUUAAUGAUCCUUCCGACCUCUGGCCCGUGCGAAAUCACAACAGUUACAAUUCGAGCGGUAGUUCUAUAGGCCUUGUUUCCCCAAGCAGUCAGUGUCUGAAAGUGUCAGUGAUUGUGCAAGGAUAACGCUUCACGAUUCUUGUAGACCGCAUCUCGCGGGCAGGAGCUAGGCCAAAGGGUCCCCAUGCCCCCUUACAACCCCACAGUUAAAUGUGAAGCUCAAUGUAAUACAUUGGGUAAAAAACCGAACAACUGUUAACAAUGGAUAUCUUGGUUCUC
rnacentral:misc_RNA from 1 species